rnacentral:lncRNA from 10 species
CCUGAGGCAGCUUGUUCGCCGCAUCUACCAUGUGAGAGCACAGAGAGAAAAUGCUAUCCAAUGGACCCUCGCCAGACACCAAAUCUGCCGGCACCUUGACCUUGGACUUAUCAGCCUACAGAAACAUGGUAAUUGAAAAGACUUAAGAGCAGAGCUGAGGCUUCCCCGAGCAAAAAGAAAUUCUACCUGUUUACUUCAGCCUCAACUCAUGCCACAGAGUUCCUUCUGCCCUUCCUGACAAUCUGCCCUAUGGAUUUCCGGUUUGCCUGACCAGUCUCCACAACUGUGUAAGGAAGCUGAAGGCCCUGGAGGAGAAGCUUGCCGGAGAUCAUAAAUGUGUAACACAAUGAAGACUGCAAUUUGGACUCACAACUCCUACUCCAGUGCUUUUCUCACCACAUCAUAUUGCCUCUUGAUCUGUGAUGUUCUGGUCUGGAUGGCUCUGUUUCUGGAGGUGUUUGUUGUCAAAUUACUAGCACACUGUUCUCAUUGUUCUACAUAUAUAUAUAAAAUAUCUCAAUUAUAUAUAUUAUAAAUAAUAUUAAUAUAUAUACACUACUCUUUACAUUUUCUAAAUAUUAGAAUAUAUACAGUAUAAUAUAUGUAUUUAUAAUAACAACAAUAUAAUUAUAUUGUGUAUAUGUGGUAUUAAACAUAGAGUCCCGCUAUUUUGCCAGUCUCUGCCCAUGUCAGGGGCAGCCAGUCUGUACAGUGUCCUCUCUGGCUACUCAUUAACUCUCCAUCACUCACUCCCACCAACCCCUUGUGCAGGAUGAUCACACAGUGUUUCUCUGGUAGCCCUAAGAAAACCAUGCAUGGCUCUA